CUGAACCUUACGACCUCACCAUAUGGUCG
rnacentral:sRNA from 1 species